CCGGCGGCGAUGCCGUUCGUGCGCGCGGACGGACGCGCACCGGCCGUCGUGCCCGCCGCGCUCGCGCGCUGGCUCACGGGAUUCGCGAGCUCCGCGGGGGUGGGCCAGCGCGCGCAGCGCAAUCGCGCUGGGUGGGUCGAUCGGGGGCCCCUUGCCUGCUCCCCGCCAUGCGCCAUGUCGCCGUCAACGUACCGCUCAUGGGUUUCGUGCCCGGCCCAGUUUCGCAGCGCUCGCUUGCGACACGCGCUCUGUGAUCUCAGCCACUCCAUCCGGAUAUGGACACCCCCAGCGCUCGUCCGCUCACCUGCCCCUCCCAGCCUCGGGUAUUUGGGUAACCGCUACUACUUGUCAGGACCAUGCAAGCAAAACUGGAUUGGUUCAAGAUGGAUGAACCGCUGUUGAUAUCGAGAGCAGGCUUUGCCGUGAAUAUAUAUGGUUAGACGACGACGCUGCGAAGCUAUCUAUAAUAUGCAUCCACCGUUCGACCCUGCCAUAUCACUUCACCCCAUACUGUCACGCCAAAGCCGGCACCACCCCCAACCUACCACGUCUCCCCGCCCGCGCCCGCGCCAGCUCCGGCUUUGCCCAGGCACGUCCGUCGACACAAUUCCGAUAGUCCAGCCAGCCAGCCAUUCAUCCGCUGCGAUCUCUCUCCCUUAUUAGUACGCCCCCACCCUCUCCCUCUCCUGCCCACAGUCCCACUCCCACGACACCAACAGCUGCGCCAACAGCAACAGCCCAGCUCCCCACUACCAGACGUACCACGUACAGAGCUUAGCACCACCCAUGGCCGCGGAGGAGCCCAAGAAGGUGGAGGUGGAGGCGGCGCCGGAGCCGGAGCCCGCACCCCCGGCGGCGGAGCCUGAGGCCCCCGCCAAGGACGUCACCGAGGAGAAGGCCGUCAUCCCCGCGCCCGCGNNNNNN
rnacentral:lncRNA from 1 species